rnacentral:tRNA from 1 species
CAUUAAGUUACUUAAAGGGAAGUACUGGUCUUA